AGAUCAGUCAAUAAUAGAAUCAGCUAAAUAAGAUGAUUAGAAGAAGGGGAAGAGGUGAGUAAACAUUGGAAUUGGAACAAUUAGGAAUUGAACUAGAACCAAAAUAUAUAAUUCAUAAGUUUUCAGUUCUCACAAAAAGGUAUGAUUUCACAAUAUCAAACGCAAAAUUAUUGGUUUCAUUCAUAGACUUCCAUAUUACAAGUAGGUAUCUUAAUUAUUUAUAUUUUCUAUGAUUGAUUUUAAUAUCUUUCAUUUCAAGAUCUGUCAGUUUUUCACUUCAUUAAUAAUUAUGAUACAUAAGAGAAAAUUCAUUGAGUGAAAUGAUAUGAACCCAAUAUGUCUAUUUUUAGUGAUGAUACAAUUUCAUCUGGUUGUUUUCCAGAAGAUUCACCAAAAGACAGAAAAAACAAUUCAAAAUCUAGGUUCCAACAUUGAACGAAUCGAAAAAACAUCUCUGGAAUUGAAAGAGAACGUCGAAAAUACGAAAAACAUAUUUGUAGAUUUCAUUUUUGAUAUUCUACAACUUUUCGGAAAUUUUGAAUGGAUUACAAAUCUAAACUUAGUGGAAGAAGAGAUUAGGGAUUUCUAUCUAAAACUCAAUGAAGAAGCUCGUAAAUUCAAAUGUAACUGUUGUCGGCUGAUAAAUGAUAUUUGUUUUCUGUUCCGAAGAUUAUCAUGCGAUAUAUCAAAUUUAAGUACAUCAAUAUACGUAUCAAUAAGAAAAAUUGAAGCUGUAGUUUUUGGAAUAAACAUCGUAUUCAGGA